rnacentral:rRNA from 1 species
AGUGAACGCUGGCGGUAGGCCUAACACAUGCAAGUCGAACGGCAGCACAGUAAGAGCUUGCUCUUACGGGUGGCGAGUGGCGGACGGGUGAGGAAUACAUCGGCAUCUACUUUUUCGUGGGGGAUAACGUAGGGAAACUUACGCUAAUACCGCAUACGACCUACGGGUGAAAGCAGGGGAUCUUCGGACCUUGCGCGAUUGAAUGAGCCGAUGUCGGAUUAGCUAGUUGGCGGGGUAAAGGCCCACCAAGGCGACGAUCCGCAGCUGGUCUGAGAGGAUGAUCAGCCACACUGGAACUGAGACACGGUCCAGACUCCUACGGGAGGCAGCAGUGGGGAAUAUUGGACAAUGGGCGCAAGCCUGAUCCAGCCAUACCGCGUGGGUGAAGAAGGCCUUCGGGUUGUAAAGCCCUUUUGUUAGGAAAGAAAAGCAGCAGGUUAAUACCCCGCUGUUCUGACGGUACCCAAGGAAUAAGCGCCGGCUAACUUCGUG